UAAAAAUAAAUAAAUGUUUUAAUUGGUAUUUUGUACAAUGUAUUUGCAAAAAAUAAAUAAAUUUAAAGCUUAAUUUGUGUUUAUUGUGCUGUUAUAUUGUUAUUCUUGUUUCUCUUUACAUUGUUUCCUCAUUAGUUGCUUGAAGUUGUUCACUAUUUCCAUCUUCUUUGUACCUGGAUUUGCUGCACCACUUUGACUCCACGAGGUGGUGGUGAGCUUUGCAUACACUCUACCUUCCUCACACCUCACUUGGAUUUCUCUGUUUUCAGCUGAAAAAAGUGAGCUUGACAAUGGAGGAAGAAAAGGAGUUGAAGAAAGAGAAGAAAAAUAUACCUGCAUUGCCAUGGAUGAGAAAUCCAGUUGAUAUUACUACUUUUGAUCAAUGCUCUCUUGAUCUCUUGCCUUUUAUUGACCCAGGUUAGUGGUGGCUUUGAAGAAUAUGAGCAUCACUUCACUCUUUCCCGUGCAACUUGCUGUCUGGCAAGAGACAAUUGGACCUGGUUCUUUUGAAUGAGACCUUUGCAUAAAUUCAUCUACAGGGAGCGGGAAAACUCUUGCUUAUGCAUUACCAAUUGUUCAGAUGCUGUCUACACGUGCUGUAAAAUGUCUUUGCGCACUAGUGGUCUUGCCUACUAGAGACCUGGCUUUGCAGGUGAGUCAAUGGUCAUCCUAGGUUUUCAUCAUCAUAAAACUAUGACUUCAUGCUGCCUCUUACAACAAAGGGGGAAAGAAGAAGAAGAAGAAGAAGAAAACUAUAAGUUCACACUUUGGCUGAGAGUCCUUUUGCUUGCAAUCCGAUAAUUUGCUGUAAUUUGGUCUUAGUGCCUCAGAGGACUUUUUGUUAAGAAGAUCUCCAACUUCUUAGUCAAAGACGUCUUCUCUGCUCUUGCACCUGCAGUAGGUUUGUCUGUUGGCUUGGCAGUAGGUCAGUCAUCAAUUUCGGAUGAAAUCUCUGAGCUCAUCAAGAAACCCAAUGUUGAAUACGGCAUAUGUUAUGAUCCUGAAGAAUUCUCAUACGAGUUACAAAGCGCAGUAGACAUAUUAGUGGCAACUCCUGGAAGACUGAUGGACCACAUCAAUAACACUGAUGGUUUUACCCUUGAGCAUCUAUGUUAUCUUGUAAGCUGCAUAUUUAGUUGCUUAGAAUUUCUUAGUAUUUAUAUUUACACCUAGUCCCCUGUUCUUCUCUUCUUUUUGCUAUUAAUAUUGUGGCAUAAAGCAUUUCUAUCUGAGAAUAUCUUGCUCAUCUUAAGAAACUAAAUAUCCAGCUAGCUUUUUGCCUUUCCUUCGGGUCUUGUAUCUCAUUAGUCUAUUAGGUCACUAGGAAACAAAGCUCGGGAAGUACCUUUUGAUAAUUUGAAAGAAAUUUGUUAGAACUUAGGUCUUAGAAGUAGGGUGACACCGAGGUAAAUACAAACGGACUACAAUAGUGCAUGUUUUGACAACGAAUGUGCUGGCUAUUUGUCUUUAUGUUAAUAACCUUCUAAUGUCUUUCUACCAUCUUCAAUUCUAUCAAUGCAUUGAUAGAUCAUUAAUAACUGUAAAUGAAAGAAAUAUGAGCUCUUU